GAUCCUGGCUCAGAAUCAACGCUGGCGGCGUGCCUAACACAUGCAAGUCGAGCGCGAAAGGGGAGCAAUCCCCGAGUAGAGCGGCAGACGGGUGAGUAACGCGUGGGUGAUCUGCCUUCGAGUGGGGAAUAACACCGGGAAACUGGUGCUAAUACCGCAUGACAUCGUCGAUUCAUUUCGACGAUCAAAGCCGGGGACCGCAAGGCCUGGCGCUUGAAGAGGAGCCCGCGUCCGAUUAGCUAGUUGGCGGGGUAACGGCCCACCAAGGCUUCGAUCGGUAGCCGGCCUGAGAGGGCGGACGGCCACACUGGGACUGAGACACGGCCCAGACUCCUACGGGAGGCAGCAGUGGGGAAUUUUUCGCAAUGGGGGAAACCCUGACGAAGCAACGCCGCGUGGAGGAUGAAGGCCUUCGGGUCGUAAACUCCUGUCGACCGGGACGAACGUAGCGGGAGCUAAUAUCUCCUGCUAUCGACUGUACCGGUGGAGGAAGCCACGGCUAACUCUGUGCCAGCAGCCGCGGUAAUACAGAGGUGGCAAGCGUUGUUCGGAAUUACUGGGCGUAAAGGGCGCGUAGGCGGUCUUGUAAGUCCUGUGUGAAAUCCCCCGGCUCAACUGGGGAACUGCACAGGAGACUGCUUGACUUGAGUUCGGGAGAGGGAAGCGGAAUUCCGGGUGUAGCGGUGAAAU
rnacentral:rRNA from 1 species